UCACCACUCUGGCCUUUUGGCUUAGAUCAAGUGUAGUAUCUGUUCUUAAUAGUUUAACCACUAUUAUGGAGGCACCGCCUCCAUUUCUUUUGGUUAUCUUAUUUUUGCCGCCCCAGCUCCCUUAGGCUCUGCUUGCACCCUUCGGACGCGAUGACCUUGCUGUUGCACUUGUUGGCUUGUGUCGUCGGGGGAUC
rnacentral:snRNA from 1 species